ACGUAGGGUGCGAGCGUUGUCCGGAAUUAUUGGGCGUAAAGAGCUUGUAGGCGGUUUGUCGCGUCUGCCGUGAAAUUUCGAGGCUCAACCUCGAACUUGCGGUGGGUACGGGCAGACUAGAGUGUGGUAGGGGAGACUGGAAUCCCUGGUGUAGCGGUGAAAUGCGCAGAUAUCAGGAGGAACACCGAUGGCGAAGGCAGGUCUCUGGGCAUUAACUGACGCUGAGGAGCGAAAGCAUGGGGAGCGAACAGGA
rnacentral:rRNA from 1 species